UACCAAGUUUGGUGUCACAUGGUGGUGAGU
rnacentral:piRNA from 1 species